rnacentral:rRNA from 1 species
UACGUAGGGUGCAAGCGUUAUCCGGAAUUAUUGGGCGUAAAGAGCUCGUAGGCGGUUUGUCGCGUCUGCUGUGAAAACCCGAGGCUCAACCUCGGGCCUGCAGUGGGUACGGGCAGACUAGAGUGCGGUAGGGGAGAUUGGAAUUCCUGGUGUAGCGGUGGAAUGCGCAGAUAUCAGGAGGAACACCGAUGGCGAAGGCAGAUCUCUGGGCCGUAACUGACGCUGAGGAGCGAAAAGCGUGGGGAGCAAACGGG